GGAAGGGAAGCGUCCCCGGUGGGGCGGCCGGACUUCAAAUCCGGAGACGGUCGUUCGACGGCUGUUGGUGGGUUCGACUCCUACCCCUUCCGCCA
rnacentral:tRNA from 1 species